rnacentral:rRNA from 1 species
UACGUAGGGGGCAAGCGUUGUCCGGAUUUAUUGGGCGUAAAGAGCGUGUAGGCGGCCAUACAGGUCAGCUGUGAAAACUCGAGGCUCAACCUCGAGACGUCGGUUGAAACCACUUGGCUAGAGUCCGGAAGAGGAGAGUGGAAUUCCUGGUGUAGCGGUGAAAUGCGCAGAUAUCAGGAAGAACACCCGUGGCGAAGGCGGCUCUCUGGAACGCAACUGACGCUGAGACGCGAAAGCGUGGGGAGCAAACAGG